rnacentral:rRNA from 1 species
AGAGUUUGAUCCUGGCUCAGGAUGAACGCUGGCGGCGUGCCUAACACAUGCAAGUCGAACGGAGCUGCUUUGAUGAAGUUUUCGGAUGGAUUUAAAACAGCUUAGUGGCGGACGGGUGAGUAACGCGUGGGUAACCUGCCUCACACUGGGGGAUAACAGUUAGAAAUAGCUGCUAAUACCGCAUAAGCGCACGGUUCCGCAUGGAACAGUGUGAAAAACUCCGGUGGUGUGAGAUGGACCCGCGUCUGAUUAGCCAGUUGGCGGGGUAACGGCCCACCAAAGCGACGAUCAGUAGCCGGCCUGAGAGGGUGAACGGCCACAUUGGGACUGAGACACGGCCCAAACUCCUACGGGAGGCAGCAGUGGGGAAUAUUGCACAAUGGGGGAAACCCUGAUGCAGCGACGCCGCGUGAGUGAAGAAGUAUUUCGGUAUGUAAAGCUCUAUCAGCAGGGAAGAGAGUGACGGUACCUGAAUAAGAAGCCCCGGCUAACUACGUGCCAGCAGCCGCGGUAAUACGUAGGGGGCAAGCGUUAUCCGGAUUUACUGGGUGUAAAGGGAGCGUAGACGGCAAGGCAAGUCUGAAGUGAAAGCCCGGUGCUUAACGCCGGGACUGCUUUGGAAACUGUUUAGCUGGAGUGCCGGAGAGGUAAGCGGAAUUCCUAGUGUAGCGGUGAAAUGCGUAGAUAUUAGGAAGAACACCAGUGGCGAAGGCGGCUUACUGGACGGUAACUGACGUUGAGGCUCGAAAGCGUGGGGAGCAAACAGGAUUAGAUACCCUGGUAGUCCACGCCGUAAACGAUGAUUGCUAGGUGUAGGUGGGUAUGGACCCCAUCGGUGGCCCAGCUAACGCAAUAAG